rnacentral:lncRNA from 1 species
GCUGAACCGUUCUGCUCGGAAGUAAGAAGCUUUUCUCUUGUGAGGGCGGUGGUGACCUGAUUGUCUCUAAGCUCUCAGGCAAUUUAUAGCUUGCUCUUGGGAAUGUGUUGAAGACGUCCUCCUGGAUCUACUGGGCUGACACAACAUUAUACUUUGCCGCAAAAAAUGCUCUUGAAGACAGUAGAGCCAUCAUUUUUAUUUCUCUUCCAUUCAUCUUUCUCAAGAUCAUUUGUCCUGGGAUUACUGCUAGUGAUUUUGUAACCAAUUGGUAAAGAAAAAACAUGAAGGCUCCUUGUAUCAGAAUUAGAUUAGAAAUUAGCUGUGUUGAUUUUUAUACUGAACAUCCAUGGAAUUUAAUAAAGAGACUCUAGAAAUGGGAGAAGAAAAAAAAUGAAUACUGAUGGGAGUCAAGUCUCUGGAGCAGAGAGUUAGAGCCCCAUAAUUGAACGAUGAAACUUCACAAUUUCCAAAGAAAGGAAAACAAAGAGCUAGUAGUUUUCUAUGUGGCUUUACAAAAGCCUUUUCUUAAAGAUGUGGCUAAGAAAGUAUUGGAAAUGAAAAGGAGGACAGUUACUCAAAAAGUAAUAUACUGUGUCAGGCUGUUGAGGUUAGCAAGGAAAAUAUCAUUUAGGUGAAUCUAUCUCAGGGGCAAAAUAAAAGUAGUUUGAGCUAAUGUUAGCUAAAGGUCUUAGAAAGGAAACAAAUGAUAUAUGUUUCAAAUACUCUAUGAUAAAAGGAAUAUACCGUGGUGAAAACUAGUUUGCUAAUAAAGCAAGGGCAACAUUAAAGUUUACAUUAAUUCCCU